rnacentral:lncRNA from 1 species
CCGGCGAAGCCUGCGCCUUUCCCGUGCUCUCUACUUUCUCCUGGUUCGUGCACAGGAAUGCUUUGAGCACCUUCGCCGGAAGCCACAGGCAGAGACCCUGAGCUGCUUGAUUUGCCAUGAGACAUGGAUGCCUCAGGGGCAGCUCGUUUGGCAUCGUGAAGCCCUCACUGUGGGCAACCGAAAUGUGGCAGGUGGCACCCUCUGCAAGACCUGUGCUCUGCAGACAACUUGGGAACCACCAGUCGAGCACCGGUUCCUUGGAUGGCAGCACAUGGAGCUGCACAAUGUUCACCGACACAGCAUGGCGGCCAUCCUUGAAUGUGUUCUCUAGGGUGCACUUCUGUCAUCCAGCUAGUGCAACACUGUCAACUGCUGCAUCUUAGAACGUUCUAGAUCAGUAAAUAAAUUGACCAGUUUAAUGGUCGUUACAAUGUAACAAACAGCACCA